rnacentral:rRNA from 1 species
CGGAGGGAUCAUUACCGAGUUUUCAACUCCCUAACCCUUCUGUGAACCUACCUAUCGUUGCUUCGGCGGACUCGCCCCAGCCCGGACGCGGACUGGACCAGCGGCCCGCCGGGGACCUCAAACUCUUGUAUUCCAGCAUCUUCUGAAUACGCCGCAAGGCAAAACAAAUGAAUCAAAACUUUCAACAACGGAUCUCUUGGCUCUGGCAUCGAUGAAGAACGCAGCGAAACGCGAUAAGUAAUGUGAAUUGCAGAAUCCAGUGAAUCAUCGAAUCUUUGAACGCACAUUGCGCCCGCCAGCAUUCUGGCGGGCAUGCCUGUUCGAGCGUCAUUUCAACCCUCGACCUCCCCUUGGGGGGGUCGGCGUUGGGGACCGGCAGCACACCGCCGGCCCUGAAAUGGAGUGGCGGCCCGUCCGCGGCGACCUCUGCGCAGUAAUACAGCUCGCACCGGAACCCCGACGCGGCCACGCCGUAAAACACCCAACUUCUGAACGUUGACCUCGAAUCAGGUAGGACUACCCGCUGAACUUAAGCAUA